rnacentral:lncRNA from 1 species
UACAAAGAUGGGCAAGCAAGAUCCCUAGGCAGGGGAGGCAGGGCCGCAGCAGGGGUACAUGCAUCAUAGUCUAGUAGUACUAGCUGGGUGCAUUCAGGUAUUAAUCAGGUGCAUCCUGGUAUUCAUGGCAUGCUCCUCUAGGUACAUAUCUUGCUCUUAGCCUAUCUGCUUAUGGCUCAGAAGAUGCUGAUCGAUGUAAAAGUGCAGGAACCAAAAUGACAGGAUCCCAAUCUUCAGUUACGAUCAUAAUUCUGAAGUUACUGCAUCCCCCUUCUGGAAUUGUCCCCGGCAGAAUAUAUGAGCAGAUGGGCGUUGUGAUUCGAGGGCAGGUGGGACGGCCACGCUUGAUCGUCCCGUGUGACUCUGUUCUGCCUCCUCGAGGUGGCUCCAAUGCUCCAGCUGGUGAAUUUCCUCUGCAUCGUACCUCUUUUAUACUUUCUAUGCCUUGCUUUGCAUAUUAUUCACCUUUCCUGCACAUCACUCAGCAGACAUGGUUUUCUCGCAGACAAAUGACUAUAUUUUAAUCACUAAACACUGUCAUCCAUUCCACUUGAUCUUCAAGAAUCAAUUAUUUCAUGCAUCUGAUAUUAUAACAAGCGACAAGUGAGCAUGGGCUAGUAGUUACAAUAUUCCAAUGCCAAACGAAAGGUGUUAAUGGUUGAUUAACAAAUUAUGUGAGCUAGGAUGCCGAACACUUGGCAAGCCUCGAGGUUUUCAACAAUAUGUCACCAAGACACUCAGCUUACUUUCAUGGAUAAACAGUAGAGCUCACCAACCCGUUUUUGCCUCCUAUAGUGAAGUGCAAGCACUCAUAAAAAUUCUCCCAAGCCAAGCCUUUAGUGAGGCACUCUUUGUGAUCCAAAAUUACACUCAUCACUCUUGGUGUCUUGACCUGAAGACUACUUCUCACACCCUACCCCUAAGCAAAAGGCUUUUAUGUGGAUCUCGGUAAUGGUGGAUAAGCAAGCAUUUAGAAUCCAGAUGUCGCAGUAUUAAUUUAUCGUCCAAAGUAGUGCUAAAAGUCUAGUCAUUCUGGUCACUGGAAAGAUAAUGUGAAGAGAGGAGACACACGCACAAAGGAAUGGGAAAGGCUUAUGCAUUGCAAAGUGGUCUCGGGGCCUAAUCAUGUCCCCGUUACCGAGAUAGUGCACAAGGAGUAGUGAUUUGCCACGCGAAGAUUUGUCAUGCUAUGCACAUGGGAAAUUAAAUCACUCAAGAUGAAGCAUGCGCCAAAGAAAAUAAAUCAUCUCACUGUGAAGAUACCACGCUAAAAGAAAAAAAAAUGGUACGUCUCUUAUUCUUCUUCUUCUUCUUCUUUUCCUUUUUCUUCAUUUUUUCUUUUUUUCUUUUUUUUCUUUUUUUCCUUUUUUCUUCUUUUUUUUCUUUUUUCCUUGUUUCUGUUUUUCCUCUCUCGUAAAAAGUUGAGACGUGCCUUACAAUGACCGAAGCUUCAUUCAUGGAGAACAACAGCAAUGGCAUGCAAUGCCGAUAUUGUGCAAUUAUAUUAGUGCUGUAAGACCAACAGAAUAAUGAAUGUGCAUGGAUCGAAGAUAGAUGUGGCUAAGAUGCAAUAUGAAGCAUGAAUGUGCAUGGGCAAAUCAACUACUGCAGAACAGCAAGAUGUGCUGUGUAGGAAUGUAUGGUGGACACAAGUGGAUUGGUGAGUCUCUUGUAACUUAGACUCCUCUUUUCUUUCUUGGGAUGUGGAUGCACUUGCGGAGUUUGCUACAUCCCUCUUUGUGAGAUGUGCAAUGCAAAGUGCCGAAGAGGUUAGCAAUAAGAAAGAUACGCAAAAGAAAUGACCAGCUUCAAAAGAACUUCCUGACUACAAUAUGGAACCAAGAUUAAUACCGCUAGUCCUUGUCCCAAACUACAAGCUCAUCUUUGUGGACUUUCAAGAAGAGAAUAUAUAGAAAGAGGCUAGCAAUAGGAUUAAAUCAAUUUUGGAUCACGCCAAGCACCUCAACUUUAUUACACUUAACAUGGGGUUUUAUAUAGGAGACAGGAAAAUGCUGGUUCACUAAACCAUUUAUCCAGUAUUUUCUGCCAAGUACCUGACGGCAAUUGCUCUCUACCCCUAGUAAUUGCAAGUGUUAAAUGUUCUAGAGGUUAGCACAUUUAUUCAGUCUAAAAUAAAGAAACUCUUUUUGGGGUUUUAUAUUUCUUCUACUACAAUAACAAAAUAUAUCAUUUUGAAUUUUCAGGUCUCAAAUGCAGCAGAUUUAAACUUCGAAUGGAAUACCAACCUCAAACACCCUGUUGGAGAAGUGAUACGGCCACGAUCCUUGGUAGGCUGACGCUGAUGGCUGAGCAUUCCUGAAAUAAAGACGUUUUUCUUCAUAUUUCCAUGUAGUUCAAACAGUCUAAUUAUGUUGCAGUUUUUUUGUUCAAAUAAUACAGGUUGGAUAUAGACUUACCAAGUUAAAGUUAUGCAGUCUCUUUCAUGUUGGUCAAAACAGAUGCACCAAUCUGAUUCUGUGAGCACUGCUUGCCUUGUGUUGUUUGAACCUCAAAACUUGGCACAGAUCACGACGACCGAAUUCAGCAGGCUCAAAGGAAGUAGAUAUGUAUGAAUAACCUGCGCAGUAGGUUAAAAAUAGCAUGCUGUUCAGAGAAAUGAAAAGCGAGUUAUGGACGUUAGAAAGUUGGAGAGAAGGAAGUGCUUUGCUACCU